rnacentral:ncRNA from 2 species
AGGGAACCCGGUGAGAGUCCGGGACUGACGCGCAGCGGUAUGGGUGACGGGCGGGACCUCUGUCUCACGACAGGCCACUGGACGAGAGUCCGGGAAGGUGUCCCGCGCCGGGUGAUCCCGAGUCCGAAGACCU